CCUACGGGCGGCAGCAGUAGGGAAUUUUGCGCAAUGGGCGAAAGCCUGACGCAGCAACGCCGCGUGAUCGAGACGCCCUUCGGGGUGUAAAGAUCUGUCAGUGGGGGCGAAAAUUGACGGUACCCCCAGAGGAAGCACCGGCUAACUCCGUGCCAGCAGCCGCGGUAAUACGGGGGGUGCAAGCGUUGUACGGAAUCAUUGGGCGUAAAGAGUUCGUAGGCGGCACGGAAAGUCUGGUGUUAAAGGCAGAGGCUUAACUUCUGUACUGCACUGGAAACUUGCGGUCUAGAAUGUGGGAGAGGUAGAGGGAAUUCUUGGUGUAGCGGUAAAAUGCUUAGAUAUCAGGAGGAACAUCGAUGGCGUAAGCGCUUUACUGGAACGUAAUUGACGCUGAGGAACGAAAGCGAGGGUAGCAAAUGGGAUUAGAUACCCUAGUAGUC
rnacentral:rRNA from 1 species